GAUGAAGAACGCAGCAAAAUGCGAUAAGUAAUGUGAAUUGCAGAAUUCAGUGAAUCAUCGAAUCUUUGAACGCACAUUGCGCCCGCCAGUAUUCUGGCGGGCAUGCCUGUUCGAGCGUCAUUUCAACCCUCAAGCACAGCUUGGUGUUGGGACUCGCGUUAAUUCGCGUUCCCCAAAUUGAUUGGCGGUCACGUCGAGCUUCCAUAGCGUAGUAGUAAAACCCUCGUUACUGGUAAUCGUCGCGGCCACGCCGUUAAACCCCAACUUCUGAAUGAUGACCUCGGAUCAGGUAGGAAUACCCGCUGAACUUAAGCAUAUCAAUAAGCGGAGGA
rnacentral:misc_RNA from 1 species